UUGGACUGAGAUACUCAGAAAUAUUGAAUUUAUUUCUGUUACUUGAUGUCCAAAGAAUAAAAAAGCUCUCUGAUGACUGCAUUACUCUGAGUUAUGAAUGCGGACAGAUACGGAGCUAACAUAU